UACGGAGGGUGCAAGCGUUAUCCGGAUUUAUUGGGCGUAAAGAGCGUGUAGGCGGCCAGGCAGGUCUGCUGUGAAAACUCGAGGCUCAACCUCGAGACGUCGGCGGAAACCAUCUGGCUAGAGUCCGGAAGAGGAGAGUGGAAUUCCUGGUGUAGCGGUGAAAUGCGCAGAUAUCAGGAAGAACACCCGUGGCGAAGGCGGCUCUCUGGGACGGUACUGACGCUGAGACGCGAAAGCGUGGGGAGCGAACAGG
rnacentral:rRNA from 1 species